GCAACCAUAGAGGAGCAGAGAUUUGUUCUUUCUCCUGAAUGACACCUCUGUUGCCAAUGGAUGGAAAGGCUUCUCUUGGCCUGAAUCUUCUAAGAGCAUCCAGGAACUUGUGACCUUCAAAGAUGUGGCUGUCGACGUGACGCGAGAAGAGGGGCCUGCUGGACACGCCCCAGAGAAAGCUGUUCAGAGAUGCGAUGCUGGAGAACCUCAGUCAUCUGGCCUCCGUGGCCCUUCAUCAUAGUCCAGGUUCUGGACACGUGAAGUACCGGGAACUGAGCCCAGGGCUUGUCACCGCCUCCUACGUGAACGUGGAGUAGAAAUGGAAAUGACAUUCUUCGGCCCUGGUGUGAAAUUGCACAGGCAGUUUGGCGGUUCACAUUCUAGCUUUCAUCGUAAAGCACCCGUUUUAAUUGCUGGAGCCUCAGAAGUUCCAGAUCCAACCGCGGCCCACAUCGACCCGCACCAAGGUCCGGGCUGCCACAACCCAGGUCCCCGGAUGGACACUCACAAAAUGUUCACAGGAAAGGUAUUUUGACAUACACCAUUUUCAAGUGGUUGAGAAGGAAACAUCUCAGCAUUCAUUGUGUGUCCUCAAAACGCUCAGCUUUUACCUUCAAGUGUCUUUGCAACAUUCAACGUGAAGUAGAACGGAAGCAGCCAGGCUCCACUGGACACACAUCUACGUGGAUGCAAAGCGUAGACCCAAGUUCCGUGGGAGGAAAAAAGCCUCGGAAACGCCCCGGGGCUGGAGGAAGGAAGUCCGGGAACUGCCCGGACGUCGGCCCCGCCCACGCAGCUGCCUGCCGACCCGGAAGCGGAAAUACUGUGGCGCAACUCUUACUCGGUGAAUGUGCUGCGGUCGUCGUGGCUCAAGCGCGCUCGUCGCGUCCUCUCCCGCCCCGUCCUCCACGCCCGGCCCGGGCCCCAGCGGA